GGCUCCUGAGCCCACUGGGUUGGGCCUACUGAACUUACGCACCCAGUCACAGAUGGAAGCUGGAACAUGGAGAGCCGAGUCCUGGCUGAGCUCACCACGGGCAUGUUCUGCUGGGUCUGUUUACUGCAUGGAGACUGCAAGCCCAAAUGCAGGUCCAAGAGAAAAAGAGAGAGAAAAGAAGCAGGAGGACAAUCUACAGCCUGUACUUUUAAGGACUGCUGAUUAAAAACCUGACACACAAGAAGCCACCACAGGUAUGGAGGUGGUACCUUUGCGCCAAAACCUAAGCGGAAGACAUGUCAAGGCUACACUGGACACAGGGAAGAACAGAAGUGGAAAUGUGAGAUCCCUCCAGGGCGCAUAAAUGCAUACAGAAGUUUAAUGGCAAGCGUCGCAGAGUUGAGUCUGAUGCAGCUCCCGCACAGGACAGCACCCU